CUCAAUUCACUGUCAUUUAGGAGUUAAAUCACUUUGUUUCUGUUUAUGCAGCCCUAGCCACACCUCCCCUGGCUAUGAUUGACAGAGCCUGCAUGAAAAAAAAAACUGGUUUCACUUUCAAACAGAUGUAAUUUACCUUAAAUAAUUGUAUCUCAAUCUCUAAAUCGAACUUUAAUCACAUACAGGAGGCUCUUGCAGGGUCUAGCAAGCUAUUAACAUAGCAGGGGAUAAGAAAAUCUUAAUUAAACAGAACUUGCAACAAAGAAAGCCUAAAUAGGGCUCUCUUUACAGGAAGUGUUUAUGGAAGGCUGUGCAAGUCACAUGCAGGGAGGUGUUACUAGGGUUCAUAAACAAAGGGAUUUAAC